rnacentral:rRNA from 1 species
AACGGAGGGGACGAGUGUUAUUCAUCAUGAUUGGGCGUAAAGGGUACGUGGGCGGUUUUCUAAGUGUAAAAGUAAAGGUCAAAAGCAGUUUUGGAAGCUUUUACAUACUGGAAAGCUAGAGUGCGGAAGAGGAUACAGGGAAUUACGGUGGAGGGGUAAAAUCCGUUGAUAUCAGUAAAUAUUACUAACUGGCGAAGGCGUGUAUCUGGUACGUUACUGACGCUGAGGUACGAAAGCGUGGGUAUCGAUCGGG